UACAGAGGGUGCGAGCGUUAAUCGGAAUUACUGGGCGUAAAGCGCGCGUAGGCGGCUUUGCAAGUCGGGUGUGAAAUCCCCAGGCUCAACCUGGGAACUGCAUUCGAGACUGCAUUGCUAGAGUAUGGGAGAGGGAAGUGGAAUUUCCGGUGUAGCGGUGAAAUUCGUAGAUAUCGAGAGGAACACCUGUGGCGAAGGCGGCUGCCUGGACGACGAUUGACGCUGAGACGCGAAAGCGUGGGGAGCAAACAGG
rnacentral:rRNA from 1 species